rnacentral:rRNA from 1 species
AUUCGUCCAAUUGAAGCAGAGGACAGUGGCGGACGGGUGAGUAACGCGUGGGUAACCUGCCUUUCAGAGGGGGACAACAGUUGGAAACGACUGCUAAUACCGCAUGACACAUUGGGGUCGCAUGGCCUUGAUGUCAAAGAUUUAUCGCUGAAAGAUGGCCUCGCGUCUGAUUAGCUAGUUGGUGAGGUAACGGCUCACCAAACCGACGAUCGGUAGCCGGACUGAGAGGUUGAACGGCCACAUUGGGACUGAGACACGGGCCAAACUCC